rnacentral:misc_RNA from 1 species
CCAAAAACUGGGAGCCCCGCUCCCGCACCUGCUGCGUGGCUUCGGCCCGCGGUCAGCGUGAAACCCCUUGUGAAACGCCCCGGUUGCUUCGGCAGCUCCUCCCCCCGCUUCGCGGAGGGUGGGUCAGUCUGCCGGCGGCUCCAGCGAAACUAUUCUGCGGAAAGAAGCUUGAUUGCAGUCUGAACGAAAAGUCGAAUGACAAAGUUA